rnacentral:lncRNA from 13 species
AAGAAAGGACGGAGGGAGAGAGAGAGCUUAAAAUGUUUCUAACACUUUAUUUUGUGUUCCUGCUUGGGAAUGUGGAUGUAACAUUCCUGUGUUCCAUUUUAUCAAAUCAUGGUGUUUGUUGGGUAAACAGAACAGACACAAAGGGUGCGUCAUCACCACACUACCCCAUAGAGGUAUUAUCACUACCCCAUAGAGAUUCUGUCUUAGACAGACUUGCCUAAGGAUGCCAGAACUAGUCUUUCAAAGCACAAAACUGCUUACAUGAUAACCACAAUGAAAGAACUCACUAAGAAAUAACCGAAGCAUGUAACUAAAAUGCCUUUUAGGACCAAAACAAAAGUGAACUUUGUCGUUUUAGGUUUGUUUUUACUGUGUUUUUAAUAAUCUGUUCAAAAAUCGAAUGUUUGUGUGAAAAAUGUCUUUUUUUUUACAUCAGCUGAAAUGGGUGGAGUUUUGGACCUGUGGGAGGGGUUUGCCAGCAGAAGGUGUAACACUGCGAUUCAAAGCUACUUCCUGGGUUUGUCAUGAGGGGCUCUUCCAGUAUCCGUGUUUUGAUUUUGUGCAAUAUCCGUAUAGGAGUCUACAUGUAUUGCUGCUGUGUUUCUCACCGCUAGCCUUCUUAAGUCUCUCAGACACUGAAUAUUGUCAAAUGUACAGGCUUUUAUGGUUUUCCAGUUUUUUGUUUUCAUAUGAGUUUUAUUAAAGUUAUUUUCCAUCUAACGGCAUUUUUCUUUUGUAAUACGUUUGUUUGUUUGUUUGUGUUUGUUUGUGUGUGUGCGACUGCGUGUGUGCCCCUUCAAUCACUGGAGUGCCAGCGAGUCUGUGCAUAAGAUGUGCACUGCCAAUUUGUUACGCAAAUAUACCACAAGGACGAGCACCGAUUUGAUCCCUGUGGCUAUGGCACUGUGAUGAAUGCAGAUUGAUUCCAGGCCCAGAGAGCCUGCAUUCUUUCCACUGUGGUUGUGUGAGUGAAGGAGGGAGAGCACAGUGGGGCUCUGCUGGAGGGGACCAACAUGCCUCUCUACUGAUGUCAUACAUGGUGAAGUAGCCAAUAACCCUUAUUGCCAGGUUAUGGAUCCUGAAUAGAACUUGUGGGUCAGCAGCUACCUGGAUUCCAUCUGGAGAUGGCAGGUCACAGUGCUAUGUAGCUGAUAAUACCUGCAAAUGCCAUGAUUGAUAGGUUGUUGUUUCUCUGCGAAAGGUGUCAGGAGGUUGCCGAGAUACCCACUAUGAGCUGUCACGUUGAACACAAGCUUGUUUUAUCGGGUCAGAAGUGAUAACUGAAGGGGAAAAUGAAGUGAUAUAAUUACAUACAGCUUGUUCCAAGUCAGCAACACUCAUUGACUCAACAUGUGCUGUCAUCUUUGACUGCAAUGGUUAAUUAUGGAGCAUUUAUGGAAUAAUUACCAUUGUAUCAUUUCCCCAGCACUCUAGCUUGGGUAAUAGUUGUUUACUUCAAGAACUCUGAAUUAAAAAGGGGAAUGGGUGGGUGGAUAGCCCCUCCCUCCCCUAUUCCAUUUUCUUCCUACACAAUUGUGUUUGUCCCCUAUUCUCUGUCUGCAGUUGAAAUAACUAGUAUUUUAUAUUGCUCUGUUUCCAGUGGCACUGAUGAUGGAGGCCCACUCGCUCUGUUUGAAUCUCCCUCCGGUACCAUAUUCACCUCAUAACACAGCUGUAGGUCACUCUUGACGUCAGAGGGCCUGUCUAUCUUUCUCCUAUGUAUCCAAACCUUGGUCAAAGUUGACAAUCAGGUGAAUGACUGUCGUUGGAGCAGACCGUGUUGACCUCCGUGAAUACCAAACAGGUCAUUGACGGCCUUAAACCCGGACAUUAGUGAAUGUAACAAGCCAGAGAAGAAGAUACUGGGUGUCUAAUAAUCACAAGCCAUGAGAUGUGUGUUUGUGGCGUUUGGCCAGUGACUCACGCUUGACAUCAAUUUCCUUUUCAAUGUCCACCACCGUUGAAUGGUAAUGGGGUUAGAGCCCUCGAUCUUGGUCUCCUGGGUACGGAAGAGGCUUGUGGGAUAGAGGGUUUUCCUGCCUUCUGUAGAUCUGUGUGCAACGUGUCUGUUAUGGUCUAUGAUAGCCUAUAGGGAGGAAGACCUGGCAGUGUGGUGCCAGGACAACAACCUCUCCCUCAUUGUCAUUGAGUCGAAGGAGCUGAUCAUGGACUACAGGAAAUGGAUGGUUGAGCGCUCCCCAAUCCAAGUGGGGCAGGUUGAGAGCUUCAAAAAAAGCUCUAAAUUAAAUGUGUCAAUCAACUAAUACCCUUAUUGAUACAUGUGAAAGGGUAUGCUCCACAAGUUGCAGUAUUAGAAAAUGAAGGGUAUCUAUUAGGCAGCAGGUAGCCUGGCGUGUAGGAGUGUUGGGCCAGUUACCGGAAGGUUGCUGGAUCGAAUCCAGGAGAAGCCAAGGUAAAAAAUCUGUCGUUCUGCCCUUGACCAAAGCAGUUAACCUCCCGGGGAUGUCUAUUAAGGCAGCCUCUCUGACUCACAGGAGUUUUGGUUGACACAUUUUGGUUGAAAGCAGUCAGUUGUGCAAUGGACUAGGUAUCCCCUUUUCCCAUUGCUAUGAUAUGACUUCCAGGAAUGACCAGCAGAGGGAGCCAUGGAAGCUACAUCAUGGCAAAUCUUAAAUGCAUGUUCAUAAAUCAUACAUGACAGAGCAUAUUCUACAUGUUCAGCUGAUUUAACGCUCUCUUAACUAUGAUCUUUUUAUGUGGGUAAUGGUUGUCACCUGCAGCUCCAGAAAUGGAGUAAUCAAUCAGAAGUCCAUUAAAUCAAUGAAACCUCUGAAGCCUACAGUUAUGCAGAAUAGCAGAGAUUGUGCAACCACAAUGUUGGUCCCAUGUUUCAUGAGCUGAAAUAAAAUAUCCCAGAAAUGUUCCAUACACAUUUGUUUACAUCCGGGUUAGUGAGCGUUUCUCCUUUGUCAAGUUAAUCCAUCCAGCUGACAGUUGUGGCAUAUCAAGAAGCUGAUUAAACAGCGUGAUCAUUACACAGGUGUACCUUGUGCUGGGGACAAAAGGUCACACAACACAAUGCCAAAGAUGUCAAGUUUUGAGAGAGCGUGCAAUUGGCACGCUGACUGCAGGAAUGUUCACCAGAGCUGUUGCCAGAGAAUUGAAUGUUAAUUUAUCCACCAUAAACCGUCUCCAACAUUGUUUUAGAGAAUUUGUCAGGAAGUCCAACCGGCCUCACAACCACAGACCACGUGUAUGGAGUCGAUUGAUUAGGAUCCCCAUUAGCCGACGCCAGUGGCAACAGCUAGUCUUACUGGGGUCCAAGACAUAAAAUACUUUUAAAAACAAUGUGUGUGUGUGUAUCUAUCCGUUACACAUACAUGUCAGUACAUGCACACAAGUAGGUCACAUGUAGGCAAGCAGUUUGCUGAUGUCAACGUUUUGAACAGAGUGAACCAUGGUGGUAGUGGGGUUAUGUAUGGGCAGGCAUAAGCUACGGACCAAGAACACAACUGCACUUUAUCGAUUGCAAUUUGAAUGCUCAGAGACAGCAUGACGAGAUGCUGAGUCCCAUUGUCCUGCCAUUCAUCAUGAUAAUGCACUGCCCCAUGUCGCAAGGAUCUGUACACAAUUCCUGAAAACUGAAAAUGUCAGUUCUCCGUGGCCUGCAGACCUGUCACCCAUUGAUCAUCCUUGAGAUGUUUCUACAACUCGAUUGGAGUCCACCUGUGGUAAAUUCAAUUGAUUGGAAAUUAUUUGGAAAGGCUGUCUAUAUAAGGUCCCACAGUUGAUAGUGCAUGUCAGGGAAAAAACCAAGCCAUGAGGUCGAAGUAAUUGUCCGUAGAACUCCGAGACAGGAUUGUGUCGAGGCACAGAUCUGGGGAUGAGUACCAAAAAAAAUCUGGAGCAUUAAAAGUCCCCAAGAACACAGUGGCCUCCAUCAUUCUCAAAUGGAAGAAGUUUGGAAUCACCAAGAUUCUCCUAGAGCUGGCUGCCUGGUGAAACUGAGCAAUCAGGGGAGAAGGGCCUUAGUCAGGGAGGUGACCAAGAACCCGAUGGUCACUCUGACAGAGCUCCAGAGUUCCUCUGUGGAGAUGGGAGAACCUUAUCUGCAGCACUCUACCAAUCAGGCCUUUAUGGUAGAGUGUCCAGACAGAAACCACUCUUCAGUAAAAGGCACAUGACAACCUGCUUGGAGUUUCCCAAAAGGCACCUAAAGCACUCUCAGACCAUGAGAAACAAGAUUCUCUAGUCUGAAAAAACCAAGAUUGAACUCUUUGGCCUGAAUGCCAAGCAUCACGUCUGGAGGAAACUAGGCACCAUCCCUACAGUGAAACAUGGUGGUGGCAGCAUCCUGCUGUGGGGAUGUCUUUCAGAGGCAGGGACUGGGAGACUAGUCAAGGGGAAGCUGAACGGCGCAAAGUACAGAGAGAUCCUAAAUAAAAACCUGCUUUCAGAGUGCUCAGGACCUCGGACUGUAGCGAAGGUUCACCUUCCAACAGGACAACGAACCUAAGCAAACAGUCAAGACGAUGCAGGAGCGGCUUCGGGACAAGUCUUUGAAUGUCCUUGAGUGGCCCAGACAGAGCCCGGACUUGAACCCGAUCAAACAUAUCUGGAGAGACUUGAAAAUAGUUGUGGAGCUACGCUCCCCAUCCAACCUGACAGAGCUUGAGAGGAUCUGCAGAGAAGAAGGGAGAAACUCCCUAAAUACAGGUGUGCAAAGCUUGUAGCGUCAUACCCAAGAAGACUUGUGACUGUAAUCGCUGCCAAAGGUGCUUCAACAAAGUACAGAGUAAAGGAUCUGAAUACGUUUGCAAAUGUGAUAUCGUUAUUUAUUUUUCAUACUUUUGCAAAAAUGUUUUUUAAAAACAUUUAGAUUUGUCGUUAUGGGGUAUUGUGUGUAGAUUUUUAAAAAAUGUAAUCCAUUUUAGAAUGAGGCUGCAACAUAAUAAAAUGUGGAAAAAGUCAAGUGGUCUGAAUGCUUUCCGAAAGCACUGUAUCUGUAUUCCCAGUCAUGUGAAAUUGUGUAUUUAUUUAAAUUGACUGAUUUUCUUAUAUGAACUGUAACUCUGUAAAAUGUUGUGUUUAUAUUUCUGUUCAGUAUAUAUAAUUUUAGCAAUUAUUUCUGUAACAUAUGGACAUUGAUUAAUCAUAUUUCCAUAAAUGUUCCAGUGGUUA